GCACAAGUUGUUUGACUGACCUUCACUUAGCUGUUCCAACACAUCCUCAUACCCAAAACAGCCGUUGCACUGUACCAGCGACAGGCCCUUUGUUGUUUCUGUUAAAGGCUGUAUAGGUUCAGGCGUUCGAAGAACUUGGUUAGGUUUCGGGAAAUAAAUGGUUUGGAUUCCUUUGCUGCCAUAAUAAUUUUACAGCCACAACAGGACGUCGCCUUAGAACAAGUGAUUCAUAUGUUUUUCAUGGAUUCGUUGGAAGCAAGUUUAUAGUUUUUUGGCAGAACAUUCAGUCUGAGGAGGGUUGGGUGAAAGGGUUCACCUGCUUGACGUCUUCUUACAGAGGAUAUCUGUGUGUGUGACACUGAAGUCAAGGGCACAUCCAGGAAACAGGCCCUCUGUCCGACUAUCAUCCAUCACCAUU
rnacentral:lncRNA from 1 species